UUUCCGUAGGUGAACCUGCGGAAGGAUCAUUAUUGUAUAACCGAGGUGCGAGGGCUGUCGCUGACCCGAAAGGUCGUGCACGCCCGAGUACCCUCACACACAUCCAUCUCACCCCUAUGUGCACCACCGCGUGGGUCCCCCUUUGGCUUGUUCGGAGAGGGGCUUACGUUUUCACACAAACUUUGUAUGCAGUGUAGAAUGUAUUUUUUGUUUUUGCGAUCACGCAAUCAAUACAACUUUCAACAACGGAUCUCUUGGCUCUC
rnacentral:misc_RNA from 1 species